GACGAACGCUGGCGGCGUGCUUAACACAUGCAAGUCGAACGGUGAAGCGCCUUCCUUUUUGGUGGGUGUGGAUGAGUGGCGAACGGGUGAGUAACACGUGAGUAACCUGCCCCCUUCUUCUGGAUAACCGCAUGAAAGUGUGGCUAAUACGGGAUAUUCUGGGUCUGUCGCAUGAUGGGUCUGGGAAAGAUAUUGUUUCGGUGGGGGAUGGGCUCGCGGCCUAUCAGCUUGUUGGUGGGGUGAUGGCCUACCAAGGCGGUGACGGGUAGCCGGCCUGGGAGGGUGGACGGUCACACGGGGACUGAGACACGGCCCAGACUCCUACGGGAGGCAGCAGUGGGGAAUAUUGCACAAUGGGCGCAAGCCUGAUGCAGCGACGCCGCGUGAGGGAUGGAGGCCUUCGGGUUGUGAACCUCUUUCGCCAGUGAAGUAGGCCUGCCUCGUUUGUGGGUGGGUUGACGGUAGCUGGAUAAGAAGCGCCGGCUAACUACGUG
rnacentral:rRNA from 1 species